CUCCAAACCUAGCUAACUCUCGAACAUUCUCCCCCAAAUCUCAGCCCCCAACCUAGCUCUCUUUCCAGCGGCCAGCGGCCGGCUGCGCCCCGAAUCCCUCGCCGUCGGCUGCGCCCCCAAAUCCCUCGCCUAUUCCAUCCUCUCGUUCGCCCCCUCCGCCUGAUUCGCUGGUCAGUAGACUGACCACCCGCUGCCCGAAGUGUCGCUGGUAAUCUCCCAGCGCUUCCGGAGGAGGGCCACCGUCAACGACCCCUUGGCCGCCGUCAACGACCCCGUGGCCGUCGUCCACUGGACCACCGCAUCCUUCCCUGAGUGGCGCCCUUUCCAAUCCAGGUUACAGGACUUCUGAAGUUAUUUCACUUGUUGAUGAGAAAGAAAACAGAGUUAAACGACUGCUGAUUAUCAAGGAUUAGAUCUUGGAUUUGCUAGUGGACUUUGGGAGUUUCUUGGCCAGCUUGGUGACUCCACAUUUUUCACUAUUUCAGCAACCCUUUGGUGCUAACUUGUCCAAGGACUUCUACCAAUCUAAGAAACUCUUAAAGGUGACAGGCAAUUUAAUUAUGUUGACCCUAAUUCCAAAUAGGACAACUAUACUAUGCAACUUGGAAUCAUUCUUAAAUGAGAACACCCGGCAUAAUUGAGAAGAAGGAAGGUGAUGUUGUCAUUAAAACCCGCCCAGCUUUGGAGUGAUCUGAUUAUUAUGAUGAUGAUACUCUAGAUGAUAAGGGGCAGAUAGCAGCAGAUCGUGUGAAGCAAGUGUUUUGGGCAAGUUCCAAGUACUUGGGAGUUAUUUUGAAAAUCUGUAUUGCACAUGCAUAUUUGACAUGAAAAUGUGUGAACUUAUAGAACUUGUUUGAGGUUCAUGUGAAGGAUGAUGAAGACUCGGACAAGGUGGAGGAUGACGUUGAUCGUGUGUUUGACAACUAUGCAAUGAAAAAAGUGAGAGACAUGAUGUAUCAAGUUCGUGUGGAUGCUGUGAAGUUCUACUAUGAGAAGAAAGGAGAGCGGCUUGAUGGCACGUUGGCAUGUUCAAAAGAGCUUGAAUAUGGCCAAUACUUGGAAGGUGGAAUACCAUGGGUUAAGGAACAUGCAUGGCCUCAUCUUUGUGCUUAUUGGUGCUAAAAAACGCCACGAUGAUUACCGUGAUUUGGCUAGAGCCGCACAUCCUGAUAAUUGGGAGGAGCGAGAGUUACAUGGGCAAAUGUUAUAUGAAUCAUCAGGUGGCAUUCCCCAUGGGCGACUAGCAAUAGCGGAUGGGGCAAUUAAGAAGGCUGAUGUUAUCUCAACAUCUAGAGAGAAGAAACUGAGGCUGUCAACUUCAGCAUCACUUCGACGAACUAUUCAAGAAAACGAAGAACUGAAGCGACGAGCUAUUCAAGAAAACGAAGAACUGAAGCGACAUAAUGAGUACCUGCAAAAUAAAGUGGAUAUGCAUGAACGACUCUUCUUGGUCCUUUUUAAGGAGAUGGGUAAAGAACUACCAGAGGAGCUACACCCAUGGAGCAAGGUCCCAGCCACAUGGGCAUCUCAUAUUGGAACCCAAACAUUGGAUGACAACACCGAUGAUGGUGAUUCGGGUGAAGCUGUUGGCGGUGACGACUCCAACAAUCGGGAAAGCAAGACUUAGAAUGCUAGUGAUGGUAACCUGGGAAGUGCCUUUGUUGACAGAGUAUGGUAACAUGACUUUAGAAGUGAUGGUAGUGUUGGUAACACAAUAGCAUUUUGGUAGUUGCAACAAACACUAAAGCCAAGUUAUCUGUUCUGAACUAUGAUCUAUUGUUGUGAAGUAUGAUGUAUUUUGUCUGUAAUGCACUGAAGCUUAUCCUUGCAACUUGCAAGUUGAACAAUUUAUCUUUUGUUGUCAAGAACUGUUAUGUACUUA